UUCUCGAAAAUUAAAAAAGUUGGCGGUAUUUUAGUCUCUUCUGAGGAACUUGUCCUAUAAUUGAUGGUCCACGAUUUAUAUUACUUAUUUUAUAUUAGUUUGCAUAUCGCCGUAGGUUGAAUAUUUUUGAAAAAAUUGAAUGUUCAAGAUUUAUUUUAUAUAAAAAAUCAGGUCAAGAUGUAGCUUAUAAAUAAGAAGAGAUGAGUUACAAUAAAUUUAUUUAAACGAAUUAAUAAAUGAAAUUUUGUUAUGAAGGUGGAUUUGAGGGUAAUUUUAUUUAAAUUUAUAAAAUGAUUUUAGCUCUAAAAUAUGUACAUAUCGCCCGUCGCUUUCGCUUUAAAGUGGAAUAAGUCGUAACAAAGUAGGCGUACUGGAAAGUGUGCCUAGAAAGGUCAAAUUAGAGCUUGAUUAAAGCAUUUUAGUUACAUUAAAAAGUUUAUUGUAGAUUCAAUAUAAUUUGAGUGGAUUUAUUUAUUAAAUUUUAUUAAGUUUUUUUUUUUUAAAAAAAAAAUAUUUAUUUUUAUUAAUAUUUAUGAAAAAAUAUAUUUAAUUAUAGAUUAUUAGUAUUGUAAUAGAAUAUAAUUUUUAUUUUAAAAAAGAAUAAUUUAUUUUUUGUCCCUUGUGUAUCAGGGUUUAUUAAAUAAAGGUUAGAAUUUUAAUUUUCUCGAAUAAUAAAGGCUUUUUUAUAUCUUUAUCUCUGUAGAAUAGAAAAUUAUUAAUAUAAAAAUAGACAUGAAGCAUUAUUCGGUUAUUAAUAUAUCUAGUUUUUUAAGAAAAAAAUUUAAUUUUAUUUUUAUAUAAGUAUUUUAUUAAAUAAUUAAUUUUAUAUUAGUAAUUUUUUAUAUUUUAAGGGAUGAGCUUUAAAAUAAAAUUUUUUAAAUUAUGUAAUUGGUAUUAAUUAAGUAGGAUUAUAAGUUUUUAUCUUUAAAAUUGUGUUGUAACUAUUUUAAUUUAAAAUAUUAUUUAUAUUUAUUUAAAAUUUUAUAUUGAAAUUUAUAUUUAAAUUAAAAAAAUUUAGAAAUAAUGAUAAAAUUAGUAUAAAAUAUUGUAUAUUUAAAUUUAUUUAUAAGGUUAAAUAAAGGAAUUCGGCAAAUAUAUUUUUCACCUGUUUAUUAAAAACAUGGCUUUUUGAUAAUAAUUUAAGGUCUAACCUGCCCAAUGAAUAAAAUUUUAAAUGGCCGCGGUAUUUUGACCGUGCAAAGGUAGCAUAAUCAUUAGUUUUUUAAUUGAAAGCUGGAAUGAAAGGUUGAAUGAGAAAAUAGCUGUCUCUAUUUAAGUUUUUUAAAAAUUUAUUUUUAAGUAAAAAAGCUUAAAUUUAUUUAGAAGACGAGAAGACCCUAUAGAGUUUUAUUUAUUUUUAUUUUAAAGUUUUUAGUAUUUAU
rnacentral:rRNA from 1 species